AGGUAAAAACGCUGCCUCUAAUUCUCUCACUCUCAGAGGAACGCCACUGAUGAGGAGAACCUUUUUCUUAGUAGAAAGCUGUAGUUAUCCUGAUCUUUUAGGGGUGUUGAGGUCUUAAUGGAGUGAGUGGACACUCCGCGUUUGAUGGGGAUUCCCACAGUCCACAGUGACAUACAUUGUCCCAGCUGAGUGGAGACUGGAUAUGGAGAGAUGGAGAGAGGAUGCAGGAAAUGUACAAGAGAGCAUUUAAGGCUUGGAUUUGGAAAUAUUACGGGAAUGGAGUUGGGUGGCAUGUCGUUUUCAUUUAGUUAUAUGCUACAGUCGGUGUGUUGUACUCUGUCCUGAAAUUUGAGCUGGCUGGCUGGCUUGACUCCCUCCCUUUCAAAUAGUUCAACUACAUGUCUGUCGCAGAUGAAUAUUUUGUCAAAACAAAUUGUCAACAAACGUAGUUUAUUAGCACUGAGUUUAUUUGAAUAUUGUUUUUCUGGCAGAAUGCUGCAGAGAAGCCUCCUUUCUUCAUGCCAAGCUGGACCGCCAUGUAUGUUAUCAACACCUUCGUGGUGGUGUGGGUGCUGGUGGUUGGUUUUGGGUUCGGUGGAUGGGCUAGCAUGACCAACUUCGUUAGGCAGGUGGACACGUUCGGACUCUUCGCAAAGUGCUAUCAAUGCAAGCCAGCAGGGGCAGCACCACCGCGUCCUCACUGAGCUGACGUCACUGAAGCAAAUCAGUCCCAAGAUUUCGUCUGAGAAAAUAUUUCUUUUGCUUCAUAUUUUGUAUCAUACAAAGGGGAAGUAGCAGUAUCUCCUCCAUGUGAUGUGUGCUGGAUUUUGCUUUUCUUU
rnacentral:lncRNA from 1 species